rnacentral:misc_RNA from 1 species
GGAGAUGAAUAUUUGAAACAUGUAUUAAGCAAUAUUUUAAUGGUUUUGAUCGCAGAAAAAGCAAAGACUAAGAGUGGGUUUUCCCCAACAUAAUCAAAAUCUCACUGAAGGGCUUACUCUUGAUAACGACCAAGCCAUUAGCACAUAACAAGCUUACAAGCAACCACCAAAGCUUGUAAUUGAAAGUAGAAACAAUGGGUUUUCCCCUUUUGUGGAAAGCCAAGAUACAAGCAAAGAAACUUCAGAAAACAGAGCAUUUCCACCACCCUUAGCUAAUCUAUAAAGUGCCUCCAAUUAGAAUUUGUCAAAACCUAAUACCAAUUGAACUCCAAUACCACACUGGGAAGCUGCCAAAACCUGAUACACGUUGAAAGCCAUACCACACCAUCAAAGCUAUUCAUGAUUUGAACCUGUGAGCCAUAUUGGUUAUCAUUGGAAGGUCAUAGAGAGUUGCACCAACUCUUCCCCUCAUGGACAAUGCACAAGUAGACAAUGAAAAACAUUGGAACCAAACUAGUAGAACAAAGGCAUAAAUCAAGAUCAGAACCUUUGAUCAAGCAUCAUUCACAAACGAAAAAAGCAUCAGAUAUAUCACUGUUUUGACUUUUCGAAAUGGAAAUGCAUCUUGCAACCACAACAUGGUGAGUAAGCUGAAAAAAAUUUAAGUGAUACAAAUCAGAAGUUUUCCCCAAAAUUCAUUAACAUGGGAAAGGCUAUUCCUGCAUCAAAAAAUUAGGAACCCAACCAAGUGUAGACGUCACACUGAACCUAGUGGAUUAGAGUAGAAGAAGUGAAGGCAAAAUGGACUCCAUUCCUGACAGGCAAAUGCAGUUCUCUAAUCCAAAGUGACAAUGCUUAUUAUUACUGAAGAUGACUUGGAGAUCAAUUUAGAACCCAAAUUUCAGCCUCAUGUGUAUUUAUCCAGAUAUAAAUCGAUUUGGGUAUAUACCCAUAACAUUUCGAGUGAAUUAGCUUAUGUUUCUAAUUCAGCACCAAAUUUAUUAAACUUUUUUUCUUCUACUAAUUUCCCUGCAACAAAUUGCAUAUCAAGAACAGCAUAAACAAUACUAAAAUCUAAGAUUAAUCCUCAAGUUUCCUGUGAAAAACCCCACAUUCAUCAUCCAGUAAUUAAAAAAAAAAAAAAAACACUAAAUCACUAGUUCACUAUCACCAAAUAUUUUUACUUGAACAGACCCAAUCGGGGGAAAAAAAAGCAUCACUUGUUGAUUGGUGCAGGAGGGGCGCCGAGGAGGCUCUGCUGCUGCAGCUCGAGCUCACUGAUCUGCUGCUCGCGGUCCAUCUCGAUGAUGAGUGGUACCACCAGGAUGAGGAAAGUGGUACCAGCGAUCCACGCCGCCUUUCCCGUGCUCUUAGCCAGCCUCUUCGCCACGUAUGCCGCGUCAUUCGCCGCAUGUUUCGCAGUGCUCACGAUAGCUGAAUCCGAUACGGUGCGCGUCACUCUCGCAACGAUCCCUUCCUCGCCGCUGCUGUUACCGCUAACAAGCCGUUUCUUCCCCAGAGAAGCCAUUGAAAGGGUUUUGGAUCAGUC